rnacentral:hammerhead_ribozyme from 1 species
AUCCAGUUGACGACUCCUGAAUAGAACGAAACGCGUGUCCUGGAU